rnacentral:rRNA from 1 species
UACGUAGGGGGCUAGCGUUGUCCGGAAUCAUUGGGCGUAAAGGGUGCGUAGGCGGUCGGGUAAGUCUGAUGUGAAGUCUCACAGCUUAACUGUGAAACUGCAUUGGAUACUAUCCGGCUCGAGGAAUGGAGGGGAGACUGGAAUACUUGGUGUAGCAGUGAAAUGCGUAGAUAUCAAGUGGAACACCAGUGGCGAAGGCGAGUCUCUGGACAUUUCCUGACGCUGAGGCACGAAAGCCAGGGGAGCAAACGGG